AUAAAAUAAAACAGUAGGAUUUCUUGGCCCCUGAACUUCCUAUUCUCCAUCUAGCUCAGUGCCUGGUCCAUGGAGCACCUAUUUGUUGAAUGGAAGGAAAGAAUUACACAAGUCUAGGUAAAUUAGUAGAUGGGGAUUUGUGCUUAUGAAAAUUGUCCAAAGGAAAAGAAUUAUGGAGACUCCUGAAUUCUUAAAAGUGACAAUUUUCAGGCCCUGAGUACCAUUGUUCAGUUUCUCUGCUUAUAAAAUUGGUCACUGCCACUACUUUACAGGGUUAUCAUGAGAAACUUUUGACAAUGCAUGCUUGGUUUAGUGGAAAGCACAAAUUGAGUAUUAGCUACUUUAUUAAAGUAGAAUGACUGUCUAACGGACCCUUUGGGUUGUGACAACUUCAAUGCUGAGGCUGAGAGUGAAAGUUUCCAGCCCUGCGGUUUUGAUAUAUUGGCUUUGCCUUUUAGGUUGGCUCUUGUAUGCUAGAAAAAUCUCUGAACUUUGUAUUGUUUGUGAAAUGGAAUCUGGACCUCUUCAGAAGGCUUGAGUACAGGUGGGCAAGCAGAGGGCCUCCAUCUCAAAGGCAGAAAAACAUGAUCCAGGAUUUAAGACGGCAAAAGAUCACAUAACUCAGGUGUUCAGCACCAAUGCCCAAAGAGGACAAUGAGCCAGCCACCCACAUCUGGUACAACUUACCAUCCAAUUUCAGGUAAGCCUCCUUCCACUGCUUCACAAUAACUAACAAGCCUUCCAAUGCCCACUUCCACAAGCAGACUUUAGGUCUUUUUCAGGGCAAAAUGCCAUUUUUAUUGUAGUAUUUAUGUUUUGUAUUUCUGAAUCAUUUAACCUGUAUAGAACAGAGCUACCAUUUUUGCUAAAUUUCUCUCCUUUAAAAAAAUUGUCACUAAUGAAAAUUUUGAGUGUUACACCCUUACCUGCAUUUUUACCAUAAGCCCAAUGGCUUUUAUUGCACACUGUGGCGAUUUUUAGGAG
rnacentral:lncRNA from 1 species